ensembl:lncRNA LINC01796 long intergenic non-protein coding RNA 1796
GUGCAGUUCCUUGAUUGACCUGUCCUGAUGCAGUGCCUGACUGUAGUUCUGCAGCUCCACUGAAGAAGAGGCACUGAGGACUAGAGGCAGCCAGGGGAUUGCAACUCAAAGAGGUUUUCUAGAACCAGUUACUUCCAAAUUAUGUUCAAUUAGGCAACAGAACUAAAGAAUAUGCCUCUGAUCUACUUAUUUCUCAGCCUGAAUGCUGACUUCAUAGACUUUCAAAACAAAGUAAUAGGUGAGGAGCAAAGGAAGUAGUUCUGCUGACGGUUCAGGACCUGCUGUGUGGGUAGGGUGGUUCACUAGUCAUCCUGAAAGAGCAUGAGAAGGAGAAAUACUGUCUGUGGCUGACUUCGGCCUUACACAUGAUCACCCUCUCCCUGAAGGCUGUUGGACGACUUGCUAAAUGCAGCAAAUCCUGUUGAAACCUGCAAAGUUGUUAUAAAAACAGAUGGACCAGGACUUCCACAAUAACUGUUUGGAUGGGCAGUUAAAUUAUUUAGCCAUUUCUACAAUGUGACUGUAACCCAGUUACAGGAAGAGGUUUGUGUACUCUCCAGUGACUCUUAGCAGGAAGCUGCCUAUGCAAGUACAAAAUGGGUGGAAUGAUGGUCUUUAGCUGAUAGCAGAAAUGGACAGUCGGCCUUCACCAACCCACCCUACCUUGUGUCUCAUACACAGCAAGUUUUAAAGAUUUCCAGGAAACAUAUCUUACCAACUUCCUUAGUAACUAAUUCCGGAAGAAAUGAAGAAAUCCACCUGCAAGCUAGAAAUGAAAUCCGCUUGAUGGCACAGAAUAUUCAAGUGAGUUUCUAACUCAGUUAACAAUAUGAUAAAACCAAAUAUAUGCACAUGCAAAAUUAUUAAAGAUUUGUUUAUGUGAGACUC